UCUUUCUCUCUCCGCUUUAUCUUCUCAUUGCUUGUGUUCCUCCGCAGCCGCCCUCUCAUCGUGCCCCCCUCCGCUCCCACUUCCCUUUAUAUCGGCAGCCCAUGUAACGGCCAUGGAGAUCUCGGGACUCCGCUCUCUGGCGAAGCACCUCAAGACCAUGCUCUCCUCCACCUCCUCUUAUCCCUUUCCUCCUCCUCCUCCUCUCUCCUCUCCCUAUAAAGCCCUGCACCUUGGCCCUUCCCGAACCCUAAUCCCUCUCCUUCUUUCCGGCCGAAUCCGUCUCUCCGCCGUCGCCUGCCUCCUCCCCCGCCGGUGCCACCGCCAGAUCCGCCUCCCCCUCCCUGGCUUCCUCUGCCACCCGACCGUCGAUCGCUUCCCCCGGCCCUUCUCCUCCAUCUCUUCCGACCCGGUGUUCGAGCGACGGGAGGAGCGGCAGCAGCCCACAUCGUCCUGCUCCGCGGACGGCGAGUACCAGGACCACCUCUUGCAGGUCCAGCAGGAGAAGCAGAGCCGGUUCGUCCCCGUUAAGGCCUACUUCUUGUGCACCAGUAUUGAUUUGAGGAGCUUGCAGGCUCAGAAUGCGUUCAACGUUAUUCCACCUACAUCCCGCGCCACCAAUUACGUUGUCCUUCGAUACUAUGAUGUUAAGAACGACCCUCAUGUUAUGGAGUCUGGUUUUCCAAAUGAGAGUGUUUGUCACUAUAUGGUAGUUUUUCACUAUGGUUCUGUUGUUUUGUUCAAUGUCACUGACCAUGAAGCUGAUGGGUACCUGAAGAUUGUUGAAAAACAUGCAUCAGGUUUGCUACCAGAGAUGAGAAAGGAUGAUUAUGCUGUAGUCGAAAAACCAACUCUGGAGACUUGGAUGGAAGGUGGACUUGACUACAUAGUGCUUAAAACUUUGAACAUAGAUGGUAUUCGGACCAUUGGAAGUGUUCUUGGUCAAAGCAUUGCUUUGGAUUACUACAUCCGGCAAGUUGAUGGAAUGGUAGCUGAGUUCACAGGUAUCAACCGGGGUUUGGAGAAAACUGGAACCUUUACCAUGAAAAGGAAAAAGCUUUUUCAGUUAGUGGGGAAAGCAAAUUCAAAUCUGGCUGAUGUCAUUCUCAAACUUGGUCUUUUUGAGAGGUCAGAUAUUGCUUGGAAGAAUGCUAAAUAUGCACAGAUAUGGGAGUAUCUCAGGGAUGAAUAUGAGCUAACACAGAGAUUUGGAAAUCUUGAUUUUAAGUUGAAGUUUGUUGAGCACAAUAUUCGCUUCCUCCAGGAAAUUCUUCAGAAUAGGAAGUCUGUUUUCCUCGAAUGGCUAAUCAUUGUUUUGAUUGCUGUGGAGAUCCUCAUCUCUCUUUAUAACAUCUUUUUUCAUCCAACACCAGUAGUUAUCCAACAAAAAACAAACAACCAGAAAAUUUCUCAAGAAGGAUCUGUCGACUAUGAUGGCUAAAUUUGCGGAUAUGGAUUCUAUUAUAUCCAAUAGUCUUUAAUUUUUGUUAAUCUUCCUCAGAUCUUUUUGUAAAGUUGCUACAAUCUUCAGUAUUGCUACAGUCCAGAAUCUGGAGCUUCAGCUGUGAACGCAAGUGCUAUCAAAAAAAUACUAUUCAGACAAAUGAUGGUUUACUUAUUUCCAAGACUCUGAACUCUUUCUCGUAGAGCCAAGUCUCAAAAGCUUGGAUCACAGUUGAGCUUCAGCUGCAACUCAAGUGCUAUCCAGAAAAACCAAUCGGACAAUGAAGAAUUGCAAAUGGCUGUCGUUUGGAAGAUACGAAGCUUCUGGAUCACAUUUGUCUCUGUUUUCCUGUUCUACUGGUGAGAGCACAGGUGAGAGGUCUCUGUUAAGUGGUUGUUCGUACCUUCUGAGCACCCUUUAUUCUUUCCUGUGGGAGUGAUUUAAAACAAUUUCGUGUCAGCAAGUCCAGAACAAAUCACAUUAUUUGUGUAUUCUUGGCUAGGCAUUACAAUGUUCAAUUUUUAGCAUU